rnacentral:rRNA from 1 species
UUCGUAGGCGGUGUGGCAAGUCGGAAGUGAAAUCUCCAGGCUCAACUUGGAGACUGCUCCCGAAACUGCCAUGCUAGAGCGCGGGAGAGGCCAGUGGAAUUGCAGGUGUAGCGGUGAAAUGCGUAGAUAUCUGCAGGAACACCCGUGGCGAAGGCGGCUGGCUGGACCGCAACUGACGCUGAGGAACGAAAGCUAGGGGAGCAAACA